UACAGAGUGUGCGAGCGUUAAUCGGAAUUACUGGGCGUAAAGCGCACGUAGUCGGCUUUGCAAGUCGGUUGUGAAAUCCCCGGGCUCAACCUGGGAACUGCAUCCGAGACUGCAUUGCUAGAGUAUGGGAGAGGAAAGCGGAAUUUCUGGUGUAGCAGUGAAAUGCGUAGAUAUCAGAAGGAACAUCAGUGGCGAAGGCGGCUUUCUGGACCAAUACUGACGAUCAGGUGCGAAAGCGUGGGGAGCAAACAGG
rnacentral:rRNA from 1 species